AUUGAACGCUGGUGGCAUGCUUUACACAUGCAAGUCGAACGGCAGCGCGGGCUUCGGCCUGGCGGCGAGUGGCGAACGGGUGAGUAAUACAUCGGAACGUGCCCAGUAGUGGGGGAUAGCUCGGCGAAAGCCGGAUUAAUACCGCAUACGACCUGAGGGUGAAAGCGGGGGAUCUUCGGACCUCGCGCUAUUGGAGCGGCCGAUGGCAGAUUAGCUAGUUGGUGGGGUAAAGGCCUACCAAGGCGACGAUCUGUAGCUGGUCUGAGAGGACGACCAGCCACACUGGGACUGAGACACGGCCCAGACUCCUACGGGAGGCAGCAGUGGGGAAUUUUGGACAAUGGACGAAAGCCUGAUCCAGCAAUGCCGCGUGUGUGAUGAAGGCCUUCGGGUUGUAAAGCACUUUUGGCGGGAACGAAAAGGACUGUGCCAAUACCACGGUUCGAUGACGGUACCCGCAGAAUAAGCACCGGCUAACUACGUG
rnacentral:rRNA from 1 species